AAACCAGAAGAGGCUAAUUCCAGAGCUAACGACUCGAGAAAAAGAGGAUGACUCUGAAUCAGGUUGGCUAAAGGCGGAGACCCAGUUCGCUCCGGCUCUCCGGAGAAGAAGAAGGACGGAAUUGCUCCCCUGUUCAUUCCCUUUUAGGCGGAUAGUUUUUGAGGAGCGCUACUCCGACUCUCCGAAGCUAGGCUGCUGAAAGCCGCUUGCGAAAAAACAGCUCCGAUAAUAAUGAUGCCUAGAUAAGCGGCACUUUGGCAUAGGAGGAAUCUGAUGGGAUCACUACAAGCUUGGGUGGUUUGAUCCUCUAUGCGGUUUGAUGGUGAGAAUUUUGGAGAAGCAGUCCAAUUCUUUCUCUUCUGAUGAUGUCUGCAAUUUGAGGCGGGAGAGUUGUUGGUCAAAUAGCAGGAAGUUGAUUUUUGAGUUUCAGAGCUGCUAGUGAAUGAGCCAGUCUGUUUCUUUCUCGAGGGGUCCAGAUCCCCCCAGGAGUUUUCCUGUAUGGUCUCUGAUCACUGAAGCUGUUGCCCCUGACUUAGUUCCAAUGGAAAAAGCAGCAUCAGAAUUUACCUUGAACCAGCUCUGAGGAGGAGGUCUCCAAAUGACAGAUGAGCGAACGCUGCAAGAGGAGCAGACCUAACAUGCAGGUAGCGUGUUAAGCCAGCACACAGGAUACGUGCUACAACAUGCAGGUGGUGUACUUCAACACGCAGGUUGCAUGGUUGACAUAUGACACGUACGUACUGAUUGGAUGUUCAAUUCAUGACCUGCAUGUGUGAGGGAUUCCUGAGUUAUUCGAAAAUUCUGCCUAUAAAUACAAAGUUCGUUAUUAUUUUACUUCAUUUUGAGAAGAUUUGUUUUAGUGUUGGUGGUGCAACGAAGGAUAUUGCAAAUAUACUUGUGUAUUAUAACAGUGAGAUUAUAUGAAAUGCACAUAC